UCAAUAUUUGGUUUGUUUCUUAAUGUUUUCGUGUAGACCAUCUGUUUGAUAAAAUUACAUAUCUAGGUUUUAACUCUAUAUAUUUUACUUUUGAUUUUCUAUCUUAAAACUCGUUUUUUGUUAUGCUAUAGGAAGAGUUAGUUGUUGUAGCUUCAUGAUAAUUUACUUUUCUUAGGGUUUGAACUUCAUAUGUUAUUAUUAUUGUUGUUGUUGUUACUUUUGCUUUGAUUUUCCUUUCAAAUAGUUGAUUUAUUAUUCUGUGUGAUUCAGUUCAUGAUGGUUGAUUAUCCAAUAUGGUAAAUCAGUUGGUGGUAUACUGUGUGCAGCCCGACAGUUAUGCCUCUUGUAAUUCCAACUUUUGACUAUUUUACUGAUUUGUGAUUGUUUGGAAUGUUCUGAUAGGAAAUAAUUCUAAUCAAAUUCUGAUAUUCAAUCAGUUGGAUGCCUACUAAUGUGCCCACACUUACACGUUGAUGGUUUAAAUAGCAAAUGUUGUUUUAAACUUUAUGAACAUAAAGUUAUUAUAUUUGUCCAACUUUAGCAUGUAUCCUUGCACCUGUUGCUUUUUCACUUGAUUCAGCUUAUGGCUUCAAAUGUAGAAAGGUCAAAUUUGUUUUGUAGCAGUUUUGCAAUUGAAUUUCUUUUAAGUUGUUGAUUUUGGAGAUGCAGGUAUAUGACAGGGGCAGUUGGUUCGUUUCUUCAAAAGAUAUUCUCAAGUUUCGUAGAUUCUUUCCAGUAUGUUUCCUUCUCGAAUACGCUAUCAGGAUAUGGAUGAAAGUAACUUUACUGCUGGACACAGGAGCCUGAAGUUUCAACACCAAAUGAGCCUGAAUUUAAAUUUAAUUUACUGAUAUUAAUAAUUUAGAAUUACAAUUAGGGAGACAAAAUAAGUUUAAUUUAAUAAAUAAUAAUACGUUUUAGUGACAGACAUACCGUAGGAAUAGAUUAAUAUUAUUUUAGUAAUGAUGUACAAUUUUUUUGUAGUGAUGAUAUUUACUUCAUAAUUGAGUAACAAUGGCAUACCUUAUAUUUUAAAAGUAUUUAUUUUAUACUCUAUUUUUG
rnacentral:lncRNA from 1 species